GACGAACGCUGGCGGCGUGCUUAACACAUGCAAGUCGAACGAGAAUCUACUGAAAGAGUUUUCGGACAAUGGAUGUAGAGGAAAGUGGCGGACGGGUGAGUAACGCGUGAGGAACCUGCCUUGAAGAGGGGGACAACAGUUGGAAACGACUGCUAAUACCGCAUGAAGCAUAGGGGUCGCAUGAUUCUUAUGCCAAAGAUUUAUCGCUUCAAGAUGGCCUCGCGUCUGAUUAGCUAGUUGGCGGGGUAACGGCCCACCAAGGCGACGAUCAGUAGCCGGACUGAGAGGUUGAACGGCCACAUUGGGACUGAGAUACGGCCCAGACUCCUACGGGAGGCAGCAGUGGGGAAUAUUGGGCAAUGGGCGCAAGCCUGACCCAGCAACGCCGCGUGAAGGGAGAAGGCUCUCGGGUUGUAAACUUCUUUUAAGAGGGAAGAGCAGAAGACGGUACCUCUAGAAUAAGCCACGGCUAACUACGUGCCAGCCGCCGCAGUAA
rnacentral:rRNA from 1 species